AAGUCGUAACAAGGUUUCCGUAGGUGAACCUGCGGAAGGAUCAUUCACAAUGAGUGUUUAAUGGCACUCUAAAUCCAUUACCCACCUUGUGUGCAAUGUCGAGGGGGGAGAGGAGGGGAACACUCUUUUCUUCUCCCCCUUUUCAUACAUACCAAAAAAACUUUCAAUAUCAGUCUACAUCUAUUUAGAGUAUAAAAAAACUCGAAAUACAACUUUCAACAACGGAUCUCUUGGCUCUC
rnacentral:misc_RNA from 1 species